GACGAACGCUGGCGACGUGCUUAACACAUGCAAGUCGAACGGGAAGGCCCUGCUUUUGUGGGGUGCUCGAGUGGCGAACGGGUGAGUAACACGUGAGUAACCUGCCCUUGACUUUGGGAUAACUUCAGGAAACUGGGGCUAAUACCGGAUAGGAGCUCCUGCUGCAUGGUGGGGGUUGGAAAGUUUCGGCGGUUGGGGAUGGACUCGCGGCUUAUCAGCUUGUUGGUGGGGUAGUGGCUUACCAAGGCUUUGACGGGUAGCCGGCCUGAGAGGGUGACCGGCCACAUUGGGACUGAGAUACGGCCCAGACUCCUACGGGAGGCAGCAGUGGGGAAUAUUGCACAAUGGGCGGAAGCCUGAUGCAGCAACGCCGCGUGCGGGAUGACGGCCUUCGGGUUGUAAACCGCUUUCGCCUGUGACGAAGCGUGAGUGACGGUAAUGGGUAAAGAAGCACCGGCUAACUACGUG
rnacentral:rRNA from 1 species